rnacentral:rRNA from 1 species
AUUGAACGCUGGCGGCAUGCCUUACACAUGCAAGUCGAACGGCAGCACGGGUGCUUGCACCUGGUGGCGAGUGGCGAACGGGUGAGUAAUACAUCGGAACAUGUCCUGUAGUGGGGGAUAGCCCGGCGAAAGCCGGAUUAAUACCGCAUACGAUCCACGGAUGAAAGCGGGGGACCUUCGGGCCUCGCGCUAUAGGGUUGGCCGAUGGCUGAUUAGCUAGUUGGUGGGGUAAAGGCCUACCAAGGCGACGAUCAGUAGCUGGUCUGAGAGGGCGACCAGCCACACUGGGACUGAGACACGGCCCAGACUCCUACGGGAGGCAGCAGUGGGGAAUUUUGGACAAUGGGCGAAAGCCUGAUCCAGCAAUGCCGCGUGUGUGAAGAAGGCCUUCGGGUUGUAAAGCACUUUUGUCCGGAAAGAAAUCCUUGGCUCUAAUACAGUCGGGGGAUGACGGUACCGGAAGAAUAAGCACCGGCUAACUACGUG